rnacentral:rRNA from 1 species
AGAAUCAACGCUGGCGGCGUGCCUCAGACAUGCAAGUCGAACGAUUAAGACUUCCUUCGGGAAGUGUAUAGAGUGGCGCACGGGUGAGUAACACGUAGGUUAUCUACCUCCGAGUGGGGAAUAACAGUCGGAAACGACUGCUAAUACCGCAUAAUACCGAUAAGGUCAAAGCUUUAGUGCUUGGAGAGGAGCCUGCGGCAGAUUAGCUAGUCGGUAAGGUAAUGGCUUACCAAGGCAACGAUCUGUAUCCGGUCUAAGAGGACGGUCGGACACACUGACACUGAAUAACGGGUCAGACUCCUACGGGAGGCAGCAGUCGGGAAUUUUGGGCAAUGGGCGAAAGCCUGACCCAGCAACGCCGCGUGAAGGAUGAAGUCUUUCGGGAUGUAAACUUCGAAAGAAUAGGAAGAAUAAAUGACGGUACUAUUUUAAGCCCGGCUAACUCCGUGCCAGCAGCCGC